UCUGGCUUGACUCAGACUGUUUGAGAACCUCUGCUUGUGUGUUCCCAAAUGUGCACGAAGCAGCUGGCUCAAAGCAGCCGGCUCAAAGCUCUCCACUGACUCCCCCACACCUCUCAGAGUCAAAGCUCUUGCAGUGACCUUUGAACUCCAGCGGGAUCUGUAUCCUCUGCACCUCUUGCCUCUGAUCACUCUGUCCCACAUAAGGUCUCCCUGGUUCGGCUCUGGCAUCCCUUUGCUCCCAGGCCUUUAGAUAUGCUCUGCAAGUGCAGUUUCCAGCUUGUUCCCCCAGAGGCGCAUGCGCACCUUCCUUUACUUCUUACUAAACCAACCCCUUUCGGUUUGCGCUUCCUCAAACUCCAGAGUCCCCAGGCUGGGCCUGAGCCGGGGAAACCCCACAGGGACAGCUACUCCAGGGUGUGUGCUUGCUGCCAUGACAGGACUGCAGAGGUCAGGAUUCCUUCACUUCUUGAUGCAAAAGCACCUUCGAUUUGUUCCUUGCAGAGAUGGGCCGAGCGAGGGAAGCACUGACAUUCACCAGUUAGCCUCUCGGUGACCUCGAUCUCUUGUUAGAAGGACUCAGGCCAGUCCAGCAGCAUGUUAGGAUAUACCGUCCUGUGUUAUGGCGGAAUUCUAUUUCUUUUUUAGGAGACAGACAUUAUGGGAUGUCACGCAGUCCACGCAGCGCCUCUGGAGCUGCUUUUCAAGGCUGGGGACGGGUCGCUAUUAUUUGUGCUGUGUUUUUAAUGUUUCCUUUGAGUCUUCCUCCUGUUGAUUCGGCUGGUGCUAGGCUCAGCCUCCAGAAAACAGGACAGAAACACCUCUCUGCGCUGCGCAUGUUUAGUACGCUCCAGGGGAACCCAGCGCUGGUGGGCUAAGGAAUUGGGAAUGUGCUCCCAGUUUAGGCAAGAUGCUCUUCAGCUUGAGUUUGUUUGGAUGAAAACAAGAUGGGCCCACAUUUCUGUGUAAAUCUGAAACCAGACAAGUUUCACACAGUUGCACAUUUCAAAAAAUGUUCUGCUCCCGUUUGAACAACGUGUCCUUAGAAAAGAGCUUUCUUACUGAAAUGGAACAUUGUGGAACCUGAGGAGCGUGGCUGGGAACACGUUGCCUCACGCUGUUGUGAGCCAUGGCCACCCACAGGACCAGUGUUGGGCCUCUCACUCUCAGCAAGACAGGUGGCCAGGAGGCUAGAAUGGAAAGUGGAUGCCUUUUGUGUCAUACCUGGGUGCUGGCCAGGUGAGAGCCAGGUAAAGCUGGUGUGUGUGAGCAAGAGGACCCCAGUUUCUGUCCACGUGGAGCCUCUUCUAACAUAGAUCCAAGAUGAAUGUCAAGAAAAUGCCCUCCUCCGAUACUACUCACAGUGUCAUAGCUGAGGAGAGUUUAUUUUAUUUUUGAAAUUCUUUUCUAUUAUUUGGAUUAGAAUUGUCACUGUUACUGCAUUUACAAAAAUCCUUUGAUAACUGUACGCUUCACAAAUAGAUUAUUUUGUUUUUUCUUUCUCAGGUCAUACCAAGAAAACAACUUUGACCUAGUAGUAAGAACCUAGUGGUUUUUUUUUAGCUCCUGGUUAAUUCCUUGCUGCAUGGCACGGCUUUAAAAGGGAGCUGCGGCUUGGCUUUUUGUCUCAGGUGUUUUUGUGUGGAUGUUUGCAUGCAUCCGCGACAGAGUUCUCUCUCCCAGCUGACAAUCACAAGUCUUCCAGAAUAGCACACUUCAGGUGCUUUCAGCCCCCUUUAAAUUUAUAAAGAAAUAGGAAUAAAAUGAAGUAUAAAUAUUUUUACAGUCUCCCCAUCUUUUCCUCUCCAUUUCCACUGGAAUAAAACAAGGAUGCCUCCAUGGCACUGGCCACACUGGGGGACAUUGGAGGGGUCAGGAGGGCUCUGCACCUUGGUGUUAAACUUGAGAUUGCCCACAUCCCAGUCUCAGAGAGAAAGAUUGUGAUGCAGUGUUAUAAGAGAAGCCAGAAGGAGCGCACAGAAGAUUUAAUACGGACACCAGGCUUUCUGCUGUUUCAAGAAUGACUUGAGGAAAUUCCUUGCGAGCAAUCUGUCAGCAAUGGCUUAUUACUUUAAGGGAUAGGGUCAUAAGCAUAGGAGUGGGUUCCUAUGUCCGGUCCCCUCUCUCCACUCCCGGGGUGACCCAAUCAGAAGUUUGAUCAUUCAUUUCAGAACCCAGUUCCUAGUCCUGGACAAACACUUUAUAUCUGAAAGCCUCACAGGGGGAGCUAGGGAGUAGCUCGCAGCUCAAAGGCCUUCCCUACAAAAGGAGUUUUGUUUUUUGUUGUUGUUUUUUUCCUUUUCUUUUUGUCGCUGGAUUUGUAUAUAACUUUUGAGUUGGGUCAGUGGCCUUUGCAGGAAUGGGUGGAUGGUUGCUAAGGUCAUUGCCAAAGAUUAGGUAUCCAUUAGCAUGCAGGACAGAGCCAGGAAGGUCAUAGGCAUUGUUCUACUUCAGCCACAUUAGGCUGAGUGGAGAUGGACCUUCAUCACCUAGGCUUGCCCAUUCACUGUGUCUGCAUACGUGUGCGUUUGUGUGGGAGUGUGAGAUGUGUCCAGGAUCCUGCAUACUGUGAAGAUACAAGAUGUCAGUGAACUGUGUCCACCUCACGUUAUUUGUGAAUGUAACCUGUACAUUUCUAGCCAUGUAAAUUUGAAGAAUGAUUCAGAGGAGAACAUG